UAAUACGUAGGUUGCGAGCGUUGUCCGGAUUUACUGGGCGUAAAGCGCACGCAGGCGGUUCCGAAAGUCGAAUGUGAAAGCUCCCGGCCCAACUGGGAGAGGCCGUUCGAAACUUCGGGACUUGAAGGCGGGAGAGGCAGAUGGAAUUUCCGGUGUAGCGGUAAAAUGCGUAGAUACCGGAAGGAACACCAGUGGCGAAAGCGAUCUGCUGGCCCGCCCUUGACGCUCAGGUGCGAAAGCUAGGGGAGCGACCGGGAUUAGAUACCCCGUUAGUCCUAGCUGUAAACAAUGGGCACUAGGUGUUGUCGGUAUCGACCCCGGCAGUGCCGAAGCUAACGCAUUAAGUGCCCCGCCUGGGGAGUACGACCGCAAGGUUA
rnacentral:rRNA from 1 species